rnacentral:rRNA from 1 species
GACGAACCGUGCGAACGUUAUUCGGAAUCACUGGGCUUAAAGCGCGUGUAGGCGGGAGGGCACGUCCGUCGCUGAAAUCCCCCGGCUCAACCGGGGAACGGGCGCGGAUACGACCUUCCUUGAGGGGCGUAGGGGGACCUGGAACUUCCGGUGGAGCGGUGAAAUGCGUUGAGAUCGGAAAGAACACCACGGCGAAAGCACUCUGCUGGGCCGACACUGACACUGAGAGACGAAAGCUAGGGGAGCGAAUGGG